rnacentral:rRNA from 1 species
UGCGUAGGCGGAAUUUUAAGUCAGUGGUGAAAUCCUGCAGCUCAACUGUAGAACUGCCAUUGAUACUGAUCUUCUUGAAUUUAGUUGAGGUGGGCGGAACGUGUAAUGUAGCGGUGAAAUGCUUAGAUAUUACACAGAAUACCGAUUGCGAAGGCAGCUCACUAAACUAACAUUGACGCUGAGGCACGAAAGCGUGGGUAGCGAACAGGAUUAGAUACCCUGGUAGUCC